AAACUUCUCAAAAACCAUGAUCAAGAAUAUUUUGAUGUGUGUGGCUUUUGGAUGGAUGGGGGUUUUUGCAGGCUUUGAAAAAACAAGUCAGCUCUCCUGAAAUGUAUUAGUGGUAUCUGAGGGACUACUUUGGGCAUGAUAAAUUUGUCUAUGUCUUUUCUUGAGUGGUCUCAAUACGAAACGCUUUGUUGGCAACUUUUUUG
rnacentral:misc_RNA from 1 species